GGAGCGCUGACGUCACUGGCGUGUCGUACAUGUGGGUUUGACAUUCGGUAGACUAUGCUGAUCACUGAUCACGGCCCCCGCUCAAAGGAGAUUCCCAAUAGUUAAGAGCAAUACAGAGGGGUUUUCCUCGGAAGCAAUAUCAUCCCACGCAAUUAGGAGCCGAGAUUCCUGCAAAACAAUCCCACAUCAGCUCGUAAUCCAUCUAGAAUCGUCGUGUAUAGCAGCAGCAGGAGCCAUGUCUGUAGCUGGGUUUAAGAAACAGUUCCACAAAGCUACUCAGAGGGUGAGUGAGAAGGUUGGGGGAGCAGAGGGGACUAAACAUGAUGAUGACUUCACUGAAAUGGAGAAGAAGGUGGACACCACCAGUAGGGCGGUGAUGGACAUUAUGACCAAGACAACUGAGUAUCUGCAGCCCAACCCAGCCUCCAGAGCCAAGAUGACCAUGAUCAACUCCAUGUCUAAGAUGCGUGGCCAGGAGAAGGGUCUGGGCUACAUCCAGACCGAGACCGUCCUGGGAGAGUCCAUGCAGAAGUUUGGCAGGGAGCUCGGAGAAGAGUCCAACUUUGGCCUGGCUCUGAUCGAUGCUGGGGAGUCCAUGCGUGAGCUGGGGGAGGUGAAGGACGCUCUCGACAUGGAGGUCAAGCAGAACUUCCUGGACCCGCUGCAGACCCUCCACGACAAAGACCUCAAGGAGAUUGCACAUCACCUGAAGAAACUGGAAGGCCGCCGUCUGGACUUCGACUACAAGAAGAAGCGUCAGGGCAAGGUGACAGACGACGAGAUCAAACAGGCUCUGGAGAAGUUUGACGAUACCAAGGAGAUCGCUGAGCUCAGCAUGUUCAACCUGUUGGAGAGUGAUAUUGAACAGGUGAGCCAGCUAGCCGCACUGGUCCAAGCCCAGGUGGAGUACCAUCGUCAGUGUGCUGAGAUCCUCACCCAGCUGCAGUCCAAGAUGGAGGACCGGAUAAGGGAUUCCUCCAACAAGCCCAAGAAAGAGUUCAUACCUAAGCCGCGUCAGUCCUUGGACCUCUCUAGUGAAAACCACAAUGGAGCCAUCCAAGGAUCCAGGUCCCCAGCAACAAGGUCUCCAGCAAGGUCUCCAGCAAGGUCUCCAGGUGAGCCUAGAGUGAAUUCUGGAGAGAUACGACAGAAUAUCUCUACUUUAUCACUCUGUCUGUGUGUCCAUAUGAAUGGUCUGUCUCUUGCUCUUUCUUGGACUGUCUUUCUGGCUCCAGUCUGUUUCCUGAUUUCUCUCCUGUCUCUCUCUCUCUCUGUUUGUAUUCCAAGGUUUUGUUGUCAGUAUUCCGGUCUUUGUUUCUCUCUAUCUGCCUUUCUGUCUGUGCGUUUGUCUUUUCGAUUUGUUUAUCAAUCAAUCGACAACACAAAGCAACAUUUGUACGUCUUUCUCUCCUCUGAUUGGCCUUGUCUCCCUUUGUCUGUCUUUCUGUCUGUUAGUGUUGCACGAUAUACCGAAACUUCAAUACUUUAUCCAUACUAGAACAUGAAAAACGGUUCGAUAUUUGCAUAGAAGUGGCUUCUUUAAUAAAAUGUGCUCUCUCUCUUUAACCAGUAAUGAUGUCAUUCACGAGGCAAAAAAAACAAAGUCAAAUUGAUUGUAUAAUUGAUCCAUUAUUGGAUACAUAGCUGUCUCUGAAAAUUGUUAACAUAAUUAAAAAAGUUAGAAUGUAAGGAUAUUGAACUCAAAAGAUGCCCAACAAUUGAACAGAUCAGUAGCUACGUUUAUCUGUCUGGAUCAAGUGCCAUUCUGUGGCUUUGGCUAAUAUGCCUUCUUUUUUUGCCAUGGUAUCAUUUUGAUAUCGAGUAUUGUGAUGGUAUUGAGUUUUCAUGAUACAGUACUAAACCUGGUAUCGAUGUCAAAAUUCUGGUAUCGUGACGACACCACUGUCUGUUCAAUAUGUCUAUCAAUCGAUCACCUUAAUACACAUUCAUUUUUAUGCAUUCCUCUCUUCUUUACCUUGUCUCCCCCUCCCUCUCUUUCUUCCUCCUCCGUCUGUCCUCCAUCCCCCCUUUCAGCAAGGUCUCCAGCUCCCCUAGACCAGCCAUCCUGCAGGGCGCUGUAUGACUUCGACCCCGAGAACGAGGGCGAGCUGGGCUUCAAGGAGGGGGACAUCAUCACUCUCACCAACAAGAUCGACGACAACUGGUACGAGGGCAUGAUCCACGGCAGCUCUGGAUUCUUCCCCGUCAACUACGUGGAUAUCCUGGUGCCUCUGCCCUAAAGUCUUUGCCACGGCAACAGCAAAUCAGCAACAGCAGUUUUCCCAGGCGACAAAUCUUAAUCCCUGCAUCCCCAGCUCCCGCCACCCCCAAACAUUCCCAGAAACCCUCCUUUUCACUCCGCUAAAAAGGAGAUCUAACUACAAUGAAGAUAUGACAACGAAAUCGGCUGUGGCGAGAUCAACAACAGCAUGGUGUCACGCCAACGAGUGCUAAUGAAACAGACUUUUGAAAAAAAAAUACGAAAAAUAAGCAAUGAUGACAUUUUGAAUGCCAUCGUGGACAUUUACCAUCAAACCAAUAAAAUGCUAUGGUUGUUUUUUCUUGUUUCCAAAAAGAGUGUUUCUCGGUUUUGUCCUCAAGUUUUUUUUCCUUCAGGAGCUUCUACAGUUCCUCAAUCCUCGUCUUUCCUGGCUUCAUCUAGGUUUACAUUGGCUGUGUGUCUUUCAAAAUGGCCGUUACUAUCCUUCUCUGUACUCUGUGGAAACUUCUAGACUAGCAUAAUUUCAUCAUCGUCACAUAUUGUAGGCUACUAUUUCUGGGCGGUUAUCUGGUCCGUUAGAUCACGUUUAGGUCAUGUUUCACACUUUGUUAGACACUGUAGGUCAGGCAUGUUUUAGUGUUUUAUCUUAUCAGAUUUACUUCUUCUAAGUACGUUCAAGCUAAAUAUAUGUUUUUCCCGUUUGAAAAGGGUAGCCUUCUGUUUGCAUGCAUGGAUUGUUUCCUAGAGAGACCGUGUCCAUUUCAUGCUAAACAACAGAUGUAUGUUUAUGACGGAGGGGAUAUCGUUUGAUGUGUCUUUUCAUACAGACCUAAACUGAGAGUGAGGUAUGUAAGGAUUCAGUGUGAUUUAAUCAAGGCACCAUAGUUAGACCAAACUGGCCACCUAUGCAGGAGGGUAGGCCUACAGCAGGGCUGAGUGGUGUCAAUGGCAGAUCUACUCGCUUUUCUAACCGAGGGUGUAGUUCGUUUGCGAUCUACAUUGUUUUGUUGGCAUUCUAUAUCACACAAGUCCUCUGUGUGAUUUAGGUAUGCCCCAUGAUUACAUCUAGUGUAUUUGAGUCAAUGGUUAUAAAUUGGCGAUGAAUAUUUACGGAAACAAAAGACUAAAUUGUGUAGUUCAAUUGUUUUCUAAGUGGCGUAUAAGCAAAAACUGGAACUGUUUCCAUAAUAUGAAAUAAUGUUUAAAAAAUCUUCUCAGUGUGUAUUUUACCAAUGACGUGGAAAUAUUUGUGAAAAUGGUUGCUGUAUUGUGCUAUUUCAUAUAGGAGUUUACCGCUUAUCGGAUUUAGCCUUAUUUUCUUCAACCGUUGGCGAAGUUGUUUUCACUGUAUCAGAAUGUCCUUUAGUCAGAUAAACAAAUAACACUAUAUUGAAGACUAUACGUCAUGGAAUCUGAUAGGACUAGCUUUAGCUGAUCAUGCUCACAGACAAAUACUGCAUUACGAGGCCAAUAGAAUACACAAGCAAUGCUGUCUCAAUCAGAAAAGGGAACAUUUUAUAAAAAGUGAACACGGUACCAUAUUUAAUUCAAGGAUACUAACAUCAAUAACCAGAUGCAAAUCCCCCUACCCCUCUUUGUAUCUUACACUUUGUCUAAAUGUUGUCAGGCAAUCUAGGCAACUUCUCUCUGUCAGGAGUCUCGGUCUGAAAUAACCCAUUCAUACGGUAUGUGUUGCUCUUACUGGUCCAUACUGUAUUUCUGUUUACUGAAGGUUCUGGGGAUCCUUAGUCCCUGUCCCUUGUUGAUUGUCUUUCCCUUGUCAUAUCCCAGGAAUGAAUGGCCGCACAUUUAACAAUACACAAUAUAAGGUACCAAAGCAACAGACUGUUGCAUAUAACAAUAAUCAUCAUUUGGUGGGAACAAGUGUGUAUUAAAAUGCAUGUGUGAGUUGGAAAUGUGUUUUUUGCAUAUCCCACUCUCCCUGAAACGCCCUGGGAGAGUGGGGUCACGGCCAGAGUCUACUAAAGCAAUUGGAUACUACUGUACACUCCAAACUCUGGCCUCUGGAUCUAUCUAGGUUUUCUCCAGCAUUUUGAGGACUUCAUUCUCAAUGGUUUUCCCUUCUGCAAAUCCAAUGUGAAACUGUAUGUGUGUAACAGACAGGGCAAUAAGUGUUUCACCCAUUUAUCAUUGUUGUGUGACUGGGUGGGUGUGGUUUGGUUGUGCCGAGGUUGGUAUGUGUUUUGUGAAGGGAGAAGGGGUUGUAUGCGCCACAGGUGGUUUGGUCUACUGUGGUUUGUAUCUAUGAAGUGUACAUUUUCUAUUUUUUCUGUCAGUAUUAUUUUUCCUUCAUUGAAAUCCUCCUGGAUGUCUAUUUGAUAAAGGACCGAUACAGUAUAGCGCAAUGAUACUAUUGAUGAAGCUGAACCGACCGAAAACCCAUCUAUAGCGUUCAUUUUUUUUUAAAGGGAAGCGCAACUUGAAACGGUCUCGUUUGUUGGCAGAAUAAGCAGAUUCAGAUUGGAACUGGCUGUGCGUUCAAGUUUUUUUAAAGGCUAUAUAUUUCCUUAAUUUUCUUUUCUCUAUCUUUUUUUAAACAAUUAUCGUGUGUAUCUUUGCCCUCAAUGAGGACUGUACAGCUUUUCAGUGAUUUGUUUUCACCGUGUGUGUGUGUGUGUGUGUAGUAGCGCAUCUACGGUAUCGUAUUUUAUUUUUGUAACUGUGAUAAAGUAUAUGCAUAUAUAUACAGUAAUUAUAUAGAACUAUUGUGAUUCGAGGGAUUGUUUGUGCUGCACACAAUUGUCGUUUUUGGAUUCUUUGUUUGUUUUGGUUUCAUCCCUUGCACCGGAUUACAAGACAAUAUGCUUGAUGUUAAAAAUGACUAAAAUAUCUCAAUGUAAUUUAUUCAAAUAAACAACAAGGUUAGAGUU